CACACAGACAUAAUCUGUAGCUACAUGCCAGGUUAAACUCUUUAGGGACAGUUUCGAACGGACACAGAUUAAGCCUAGUCCUGGACUAAAAAGUUAAUUGGAGAAUUUCUAGAUAUGUUUUUUAGUCCAGGACUAAACUAGACUAGGCUUAAUCCAAGUCUGGGAUUAACCGGCUAUUAUCACCCAUUUUCUGGAUCAUAGUAAUGAAAGUGUCACAGCUCUCAUCGUAAUGAGGAUCGGACCAAAGUGCAGCGUGGUGUUUCAGGAUGCAGAAGGAUACAGAUUUGUCCAGGUGGAUGCUGCUAAGAUGCAGCUGCUGAGUCUUUGUUCUGUAUGGAAGGACAUCAGAAGAAAAACUGGAAUCCUCCCAAAGGAUGGAAGAAAACCAAUCACUUUAGCCACACACUACUGACCUUGGCUUGUUCCGAGUAUCAUACUGUGUUAUGGCUAAAUACUAGAUUUCAGCAUAUUGUUGUUUCGUUUCUCUAUGUUCUCAUCCAAAAUAAUUUAAAUGGCUAUGGCCUGCUUUGUGGUCAUGGAUAUUGCAUAGGCUCUCUGAUACCAAUGGCUGUAAACUGCUUUUGAGUUUGGAUAAGAUGGAGUGUGCUUCACUUUGCAAUGCAACAACCCUUCAAAAGACAACGGCACAUCAAUCUUCAGAGGUCUGCCCUUCAAAGUACAGUUACGAUUCUGUCGAUAUCAUUGUACUUCCAGUCAUUUCCUAUUAAAGAUGACAUGUAAUGUUC